AUGGAAGAAGAACCUCCAAUAUUUGCUGAAGAGGAGGCUGGUACUAGUAAGAAGAAGAAGAAGCGCAAACGCGAGACAAUAAAGCAGACUGAAUGCAAGGCGAAAAUGUUGGUGAAGCUGAUAGAUGGGCGAUGGGAGGUGAUGCACUUUGUUCAUGACCACAAUCAUACGCUUGUGAACAAACCAUCAUUGUCCAAAUACUUGAGAUCCCACCAAGGUAUCUCACCAGAUGAAAAGGAGUUUCUGCGCAUCUUGUAUAACUGCAACUUGACUACAGGUGUGGUGUUUUUCUAUAUCCCUUGA
rnacentral:rRNA from 1 species